rnacentral:rRNA from 1 species
GCUGCAUGGCUGUCGUCAGCUUCGUGUCGUGAGAUGUUCGGUUAAGUCCGCUAACGAGCGCAACCCUCGUCGUAUGUUAUAUGUGUCAUACGAGACUGCCGGUAAAAGCCGGAGGAAGGUGAGGAUGAUGUCAAGUCAGCAUGACCUUUAUAUCCAGGGCUACACACACGCUACAAUGGUCUGUACAAUGGGUAGCCAAGCCGCGAGGCGGAGCCAAUCCUGAAAGCAGGCCUCAGUUCAGAUUGCAGUCUGCAACUCGACUGCAUGAAGCCGGAGUUGCUAGUAAUCGUGGAUCAGCAUGCCACGGUGAAUACGGUUCCCGGGCCUU